UUCAAAUGAAAUCUUACAAGUGUUUCUAGGCAUACAAUAUCCAUAAGACAUACUACAUAUAUAAGUGACACUAUUACAUGGGGGGGACUUUGGUGCUCCUCCCUUCAUAUAGCAUAUGGGGCUUGCAUAAUCUGACAAUUCAUAAGAUCAACAAUGUACCAAUUAGAAGAUGAAAAGAGCAGCGACAAUAGAACAUUCACAUUAAACUAACCAACUCUUCCAUCUCCUGGUUGAGUCCGAGACUCCAAGAAGAGCCUUAUGGUUGAGUAGAUUAGAGAAGGUUCAGCCAUUGCACCAUUCCCAUAAUCACCACAAGCCAGCCUUUUUGUAAUGGGUGGAAUGAGGGAAAUCCCCAGUUCAUCAAUUGACAUGAGAUGCUUCUCUGUGAAAGGAUUGCUCCACAUGAAAGUAUUCAUGGCUGGUGCAACAAAGAGGGGCUUGUUGUAAUCCCAUGCUCGUACAAUGCAGGUCAGCAGAUUGUCACACAAUCCUCCAGCAAUCUUACCAAGUGUGUUUGCUGAUAAUGGGGCUAUAACCAUGAUAUCAGCCCACCGCCGCAGCUCAAUGUGGAGAACAGUAUCUCCUAUUUUAUUCCAACUAGACCAUUCAUCCUCGUCAGUGUA
rnacentral:misc_RNA from 1 species